AGCAGAACAAAGCUUCAAUAAAGAGAUAUUGUGACUUGGAGAGACGGCCUUUUGUCCUUUGUUCUAUUACCGGUCAGAGGAUGGGGAGCACAUCCAAACCUGAGACAACAGCUUUGCUAAGUGCCCUUGAGAGGGCACGGUGGGGUCAGCACCAAAGCCAGACCACUAAAGAGAAAAAGAAAGAAAGACAGGAUUGCAGAGGAGUAAUGAGAAUGGCAGAAAAAAUAAUUUUUUAAGCCAAAAGGAAUCAGAGAAGAGCAGAAGUGCCUCUAGGAUAAAGCGUAGCAGGCAGUUAGGGAAAACGGGCUGUUAACUAACUUGAAUCUCUGACUACGUUAGAAAGCCUCGCAAGACAGUCGUUGCUUGCACGGGCAGGUAGAGAACUUUUCCUGUCCAUUGUUCUUCUGAAUUAUAAAUCACUGACCUCUUUAUGAUUUCCAAAGGGAAAAUGACUUCAAGCUUCUUAGAGUUCCCCUAAGGCAUUCUCUAUAUUCAAUAUAAUAUGGGAAGCCCUGGGUUUGUCUUUGUAUGUUUCAUCUGCAGUGACCUGAAAUCUUCAUAACCCUCUUCCUUUCUCUACUUAUCAAGUAAGGGGUGGUUGGCAAUAAGGAUGGGUGGGAGAGAAAAAAACCCAGAAUUUGAGGAGGAGAGCAUUUAAACCAUCAGACUGUGUGUUCUGUGACAUCAAAGACUGGCAACAUUCUAAAGGAGAAGCAGCUGUGAAGUCAUAAUUAUGUUCACUUCCCACUGGCAACUGGCAAGCCCUUUAUUUUUGUGCAUUCGGAACUCACCAAGAAUAAAUAAAGUCCAUUCCCUCCUUGAGGGGCUAUUCUGCCAUUCCAUCUAGGAUUUAAAAGUUUGCCAAUUCCUAAAACAUCUAUUGUUAUAAAUAGUCUUGUGUCUUUCACAAAGCGGACUUUACAAAAUAAGAUGCCAUGUCCAGCCAAAUAAAUGAGACUGAACUUCAUGGUUGUUGUUUUUAUUUCAUCCCGGUCAAAAGAAAUGAAAUUAAAUAUAAAAAGCAGAUGACCAAAUAAAGUCCAA
rnacentral:lncRNA from 1 species